rnacentral:rRNA from 1 species
CUUACCAAGGCGACGAUCAGUAGCCGNCNUGAGAGGGUGAACGGCCACACUGGAACUGAGACACGGUCCAGACUCUACGGGAGGCAGCAGUGGGAAUAUUGCACAAUGGGCGAAAGCCUGAUGCAGCGACGCCGCGUGAGUGAAGAAGGUCUUCGGAUCGUAAAACUCUGUCCUUGGUGACGAAAAAAAUGACGGUAGCCAAGGAGGAAGCCCCGGCUAACUACGUGCCAGCAGCCGCGGUAAUACGUAGGGGGCGAGCGUUGUCCGGAUUUACUGGGCGUAAAGGGUGAGUAGGCGGUUGUAUAUGUCAGAUGUAAAAGGCACAGGCUUAACUUGUGUAAGCAUUUGAAACUGUACAACUUGAGUGCAGGAGAGGUAAGUGGAAUUCCUAGUGUAGCGGUGAAAUGCGUAGAUAUUAGGAGGAACACCAGUGGCGAAGGCGACUUACUGGACUGUAACUGACGCUGAGUCACGAAAGCGUGGGUAGCAAACAGGAUUAGAUACCCUGGUAGUCCACGCUGUAAACGAUGAGUGCUAGGUGUUGGGUAGCGAUAUUCAGUGCCGAAGUUAACACAAUAAGCACU